CACCUAAAAGCUAGCCCACACUGAUUAUAACCCAACACUCAUAUAUUUAUAACCCCAGAAACCCUUAAUCCUCUAGCUAAACCAUUCCUCCACUUGAGUAUAGGCGAUAGAAA
rnacentral:rRNA from 1 species